GCUAGGAGCGGUUAAGAGACUGCAGCUCCCAGGAUGUACGGUGAUGGCACCCGUUGCGACUGCGCUGCUCUGGGCGUCUAGAGCGGUUCCCCCUUGCGGAGGGGAUCCUGGCUGUUCCCAAAUCUCGCCUAUCUGCGGGGAGCCAGCGUGGCCCGGGCAGCAGAUCUCAACCAGUGAUUGUGGCAUGGCCCCUACCCGAGAUGCCGGCUUCUUGACUUGGGGGGAAGUUUGAUUUUUCACAAAUCUGCAAGAGGCCGGGAGCCUCUCACAGCCGGCUCAGCUUUUUCAGAUUAACUCUAAGUAAUUCAUACUGUACAUUUCUGAAAUUGAAGUACACACAGCUUCAAUUCUGUGCAGGGAGGAUGCAACAGGAGAGAAUAUCCUGGGCACAUCUUUCUGGAGAAUCACUUUUACUACAAGAUUUGUAAGAAACAAAUUUAUUUCCAAGGGUGGACAACAUGGAUGUCUUCACCUGCCAGGGUCAAGGACAAGGGUCUAAAUGGGUGAGGCCUAGAGCCCCAGCCAAUCAGUGGCGCUAGUGUGAAAAUUGUCCAAUCCAGUGCGCAGCUAGAGAGGAAGAGGCGGCCUCUUCGAUAUGGCAAGGCGUUUUUCUCCUAGCUCCUGGGCUUUGAGUCCAG
rnacentral:sRNA from 1 species